AACAAGGUCUCCGUUGGUGAACCAGCGGAGGGAUCAUUAUCGAGUUAUUCAACUCCCAAACCCUAUGUGAACUUACCACUUGUUGCUUCGGCGCGCGCUUCGGCGCCGCCGAGGACACUUAAACUCUUUGUUUUUAUAAGCAUUUCUGAGUGGCCGAAAGGCAAAAAUACAAAUGAAUCAAAACUUUCAACAACGGAUCUCUUGGUUCUGGCAUCGAUGAAGAACGCAGCGAAAUGCGAUAAGUAAUGUGAAUUGCAGAAUUCAGUGAAUCAUCGAAUCUUUGAACGCACAUUGCGCCCGCCAGCAUUCUGGCGGGCAUGCCUGUUCGAGCGUCAUUUCAACCCUCGAGCCCGACUCUUUUGAGGACGGCUCGGCGUUGGGGGACGGCAGACUCCCCCCGGCAUCUCGCCGGGGACGCCGCCCCCGAAAUCUAGUGGCGGCCCUCCGAGGCGACCUCUGCGUAGUAACUUGUUCUCGCACCGGAAAGCUCAGAGCGGCCACGCCGUAAAACCCCAACUUUUUUCAGGUUGACCUCGAAUCAGGUAGGACUACCCGCUGAACUUAAGCAUAUCAAAACAAGGUCUCCGUUGGUG
rnacentral:rRNA from 1 species